GAUGAACGCUGGCGGCGUGCUUAACACAUGCAAGUCGAACGAUGAAGCCCAGCUUGCUGGGUGGAUUAGUGGCGAACGGGUGAGUAACACGUGAGUAACCUGCCCUUAACUCUGGGAUAAGCCUGGGAAACUGGGUCUAAUACCGGAUAGGAGCGUCCACCGCAUGGUGGGUGUUGGAAAGAUUUAUCGGUUUUGGAUGGACUCGCGGCCUAUCAGCUUGUUGGUGAGGUAAUGGCUCACCAAGGCGACGACGGGUAGCCGGCCUGAGAGGGUGACCGGCCACACUGGGACCGAGACACGGCCCAGACUCCUACGGGAGGCAGCAGUGGGGAAUAUUGCACAAUGGGCGCAAGCCUGAUGCAGCGACGCCGCGUGAGGGAUGACGGCCUUCGGGUUGUAAACCUCUUUCAGUAGGGAAGAAGCGAAAGUGACGGUACCUGCAGAAGAAGCACCGGCUAACUACAUG
rnacentral:rRNA from 1 species